AACGAACGCUGGCGGCAGGCCUAACACAUGCAAGUCGAGCGAGGACUUCGGUCCUAGCGGCGGACGGGUGAGUAACGCGUGGGAACGUGCCCCUUGGUACGGAAUAGCCCCGGGAAACUGGGAGUAAUACCGUAUGAGCUCUACGGAGGAAAGAUUUAUCGCCAAGGGAUCGGCCCGCGUUGGAUUAGGUAGUUGGUGGGGUAAUGGCCUACCAAGCCGACGAUCCAUAGCUGGUUUGAGAGGAUGAUCAGCCACACUGGGACUGAGACACGGCCCAGGCUCCUACGGGAGGCAGCAGUGGGGAAUCUUAGACAAUGGGCGCAAGCCUGAUCUAGCCAUGCCGCGUGAGCGAUGAAGGCCUUAGGGUUGUAAAGCUCUUUCAGCGAGGAAGAUAAUGACUGUACUCGCAGAAGAAGCCCCGGCUAACUCCGUGCCAGCCGCCGCCGUAAAAC
rnacentral:rRNA from 1 species